UACGUAGGGUGCAAGCGUUGUCCGGAAUUAUUGGGCGUAAAGAGCUCGUAGGCGGUCUGUCGCGUCGGCUGUGAAAACUCGGGGCUCAACCCCGAGCCUGCAGUCGAUACGGGCAGACUAGAGUGCGGUAGGGGAGACUGGAAUUCCUGGUGUAGCGGUGAAAUGCGUAGAUAUCUGGAGGAACACCGGUGGCGAAGGCGGCGUUCUGGACUGCAACUGACACUGAAAAACGAAAGCCAGGGGAGCAAACGGG
rnacentral:rRNA from 1 species